CUCUUUUUAAGGUUGUGUUGCUUUCUGCCACAAUGCCAACUGAUGUGUUGGAAGUGACCAAAAAAUUCAUGAGAGAUCCAAUUCGAAUUCUGGUGAAAAAGGAAGAAUUGACCCUUGAAGGAAUCAAACAGUUUUAUAUUAAUGUUGAGAGAGAGGUAACUGUCUAAUUGUUAGACAUUAUUUUACCUUCUUGUAUAAGCACUGUGCUAAAAUUGCAGACACUAGGACCAUGUCUUGGUUUUUGCAAUAAUGCUAGCAGAGUACACACAAGAAGAAAAGUAACAGCACUAGAUUGUAAAGACUGGGGUGGACCUCUUUCUUAAUGUCCAAUGUCCUUUGUCUUAAGAUUUGGUGCAAUAUCUCAUUAGACCUAACAGAAUGAAGUUAAUUUUUAUAAUUUCUACAUUUUGAGACUGGGUUAUAAGACUGGCUAAGACUGGCCAAUUUUGGUAUUUUGGGUAGAGAUGGUUUCACUAUCUUGAAACCCUGGUCUGGUUGGAACUCUGGGCUCAAGUGCUGGGAUCCCAAAGUGCUGGGAUUACAGGCAUUAGCAUUGUGGCUGGCCCAGAAUGAAUUUUUAACUGAAGAAAGUUGGAAAAACUAAAUGACUGUUAACUUUCUCUUCUAAACAUUACAGGAGUGGAAGUUGGAUACACUUUGUGACUUGUACGAGACACUGACCAUCACGCAGGCUGUUAUUUUUCUCAAUACGAGGCGCAAGGUGGACUGGCUGACUGAGAAAAUGCAUGCCAGAGAUUUCACAGUUUCUGCUCUGCAUGGUGACAUGGACCAGAAGGAGAGAG
rnacentral:sRNA from 1 species